rnacentral:misc_RNA from 1 species
CCAUGGACAAUGGUGUUUUAAGAUUUGAUCAUGUGCGCAUCCCAAGGAACCAAAUGUUGAUGCGAGUAAUGCAGGUUACAAGGGAAGGGAAAUGUGUGCAAUCUAAUGUUCCACGGCAAUUGAUUUAUGGCACUAUGGUGUAUGUGCGGCAGACAAUUGUAUCUGAUGCAUCCUCUGCUUUAUCACGGGCGGUUUGUAUUGCUACAAGGUAUAGUACCGUCCGCAGACAAUUUGGUUCUCAGGAGGGUGGUGUUGAGACCCAGGUGAUCGAUUACAAAACUCAGCAAAAUAGACUUUUCCCUUUGCUGGCUUCUGCAUAUGCUUUCAGAUUUGUUGG